rnacentral:rRNA from 1 species
GCCAGAGGAGGCAACCGUUAUCCGGAAUUAUUGGGCGUAAAGCGUCCGUAGGUGGUUUGACAAGUCUAGGGUUAAAGCCCGGAGCCCAACUCCGGAUCGGCCCUGGAAACUGUCAGACUUGAGUAAGGUAGGGGUUGCGGGAAUUCCCGGUGUAGCGGUGAAAUGCGUAGAUAUCGGGAAGAACACCAGCGGCGAAAGCGCGCAACUGGGCCAUUACUGACACUGAGGGACGAAAGCUAGGGGAGCGAAUGGG